GAUGAACGCUAGCGGGAGGCCUAACACAUGCAAGCCGAGCGGUAUUUGUUCUUCGGAACAGAGAGAGCGGCGCACGGGUGCGGAACACGUGUGCAACCUGCCUUUAUCUGGGGGAUAGCCUUUCGAAAGGAAGAUUAAUACCCCAUAAUAUAUUGAGUGGCAUCAUUUGAUAUUGAAAACUCCGGUGGAUAGAGAUGGGCACGCGCAAGAUUAGAUAGUUGGUGAGGUAACGGCUCACCAAGUCAAUGAUCUUUAGGGGGCCUGAGAGGGUGAUCCCCCACACUGGUACUGACACACGGACCAGACUCCUACGGGAGGCAGCAGUGAGGAAUAUUGGACAAUGGGUUAGCGCCUGAUCCAGCCAUCCCGCGUGAAGGACGACGGCCCUAUGGGUUGUAAACUUCUUUUGUAUAGGGAUAAACCUACUCUCGUGAGAGUAGCUGAAGGUACUAUACGAAUAAGCACCGGCUAACUCCGUG
rnacentral:rRNA from 1 species